rnacentral:sRNA from 1 species
AUCAGGAAUUCAUCAGAACAGCAGUUUAGCCAGUUGUUCUUACCCGUGUCCACUCGUUUGGGCUCAUCUUUGGGGCGAAGACCCUGACCGUGUGGACCGUGGACGCCGCGAGGAAGCUGGGCCGGUCACAUUCCUUGGCCCCCGGCUUCGCAACGCGCCUGGUGUACUCCGUCAUGGUGGCUCGGCUGCGGCCGCGGCCGCGGGAGGACGUAUCGUUCCGGGCGGCGCUGAGGAAGAAGACGGCCCGCUGGGCGCACGCGUCGUCGCGGCUCAGCGGCCGCGUGUUGAAGACGAACGGGCCAUCGGCCCACGACCGCCACGUCUUGAACGUCCGGAGCGGCACCUCCAGCUCGUGAGGCGCCACGGCCCACGGGUACAGCUGCACCGUGUAACCCCACGACACCGACACGGACCAGGUGUAGCGCGGCCCGCGCUGGUAGCAGAACGCCUGCUGCAGCGACCGCGCCUGGUCGAGCCGCGACGCGCGCACCAGCCGCCGCGCCGCGUCCAGCGGGCUGCCAUGCUGCCCCCCGGGGCUGAUGGGCUCGAUGUGGUCGAGGUGGUGGAGCGACACCAGCGGCGCCAGCGGGUGGGCGGCCAGCAUCCCGUACGCGUCGCCGCGGACGUCCACCUGUCAGUCGUUGUUGCGGCCACAGUUGUUAGUAAGAAGAUUCUCGAUGCCAGAUGGUGAACGAUGGUGAGGACGACAAGAAGACAGAGGGCAGAAAGUGACAAAUGGCGACCUUGUUACGACACGCCACAAAGGCUGUGUUUAGUUGGGGAAAAGAAAUUUUUUGGGUGUCACAUCAGACGUUUGACCGGA